rnacentral:tRNA from 10 species
GGAGGAUUCGCCUAGUGGCCUAGGGCGCACGCUUGGAAAGCGUGUUGGGGGAAACCCCUCACGAGUUCGAAUCUCGUAUCCUCCGCCA